UUCUUGUUCAGUACAUCACUCACAUUGAGUCUCGACAGAUUGGCUCUGCCAUCAAAACUAAUAGAUAUGAAUGACCACCCAACAGGAACCCUGUGGGCCAGGGAAACACUGUUCAUUUUUCACCUGGCUGGUUCCGACGUUUGGUGUGGUGUUAUUUUUCAAAAGCUUCUGCACGUUUUAAGAGGCUCUCUGCGCACCGGGAGAGCAACUAGCGAAAAUCUGUGACGACCCAUGUGUCACGCAAUCAUUAUUUAUUGACUCAAAACGACAGCGAGAAAAUAGCCUCUUUUACCAUCCAAAAUAUUCCUAAACGUGUUCUUGAUAAAAACAGAGCCAAAAGUUCUCGUUUGAGUGGAGGAGUGAUUGGUUGCCUUUUUUUUUUUUUAACUAUGUACGGAUUAGUCUGAUAGCUGAGAAUAUUACUUCAGAACCCCGCCCAGCAUUUACUUUCAUGAUGGAGUUAGCUUUGUACUAAAAAAAAAAAAAAAAAAAAAAAAAAAGUCCGUCAGUCGAGGCGACGCAACAGGCAAAGGCCCUUACCGCCAAACCCUGAGUUUGAUCCCUAGAGUCGAAGGAGAAAACCGAAGUUGUUCUCUGAUUUCCACUAGGGCACCUCCGUGAUACCCGUGCCUCCUCCCCCCAUAAAGAGUAAAUAAAUAAAGUAAUGUAAUUUAAAAAAUUAAAAUGGAAAUUAUUUA